rnacentral:misc_RNA from 1 species
GAUGAAGAACGUAGCGAAAUGCGAUAUGUAGUGUGAAUUGCAGAAUUCAGUGAAUCAUCGAAUCUUUGAACGCACAUUGCGCCCUUUGGUAUUCCUUAGGGCAUGCCUGUUCGAGCGUCAUUUAAACCUUCAAGCUAAGCUUGGUGUUGGGUGACUGUCCGCCUCACGGCGGACUCGCCUCAAAAUUAUUGGCGGCCGGUACAUUGGCUUCGAGCGCAGCAGAAACGCGAACUCGGGCCCGUCGUAUUGGCUCCCAGAAGCUAUCUUCACAAUUUUGACCUCGGAUCAGGUAGGGAUACCCGCUGAACUAAAGCAUAUCAAUAAGCGGAGGA